UUAUUUGUUGGAUUGCCUUAUGUGGCUGUUUAUCCCCAUUUAUACCUGCAUUUGUCAAGAUAUCAAACAACGGCCUUCGAUGGUCUUCUCUUGCAACUUGCAUCGUAGCUAUUAAUAUUGUAAUCAGUGGUUGUUUUCUUUCUGUUAAUAUGUUUGUUGCAAACUCUGUACUUCCAGAAUAUCAAGGAGCUGUUAAUGGCUUGGGAAUGAGUAUAUCCUCUAUUGGAAGGUCUAUUGGUCCUGCUCUAUUUGGGAAUGCCUAUUCUUGGUCGUUGUCAAAUAUGAAGUCUAAACAUUUGUCUUUUCCAUUUAACCAAUAUUUUGCUUUCAUUCUUUUGACUGGUUUUUGCUUCGUAAGCGCUGUUUAUGCGCACUUUUUUAUUUCGAAAUCUUUAAACGGCAAAAAAAUUAGUUCACUAAAAAAAAAACUUGUGGUUCGUGUGAGUCAUUACUUAUAUGCACGCU
rnacentral:lncRNA from 1 species